rnacentral:tRNA from 1 species
GGUAUAGCUCAAUGGUAGAGAGUAUGCUUAGCAUGCAUAAGGCCUGGGUUGAACUCCCAGCACC